UACGAAGGGGGCGAGCGUUGUUCGGAUUUACUGGGCGUAAAGGGCGCGUAGGCGGCCCUUCAAGUCAGGCGUGAAAGCCCCGGGCUCAACCUGGGAGGUGCGCUUGGGACUGGAGGGCUUGAGUUCGGGAGAGGAGAGUGGAAUUCCCAGUGUAGAGGUGAAAUUCGUAGAUAUUGGGAAGAACACCGGUGGCGAAGGCGGCUCUCUGGACCGAGACUGACGCUGAGGCGCGAAAGCGUGGGGAGCAAACAG
rnacentral:rRNA from 1 species